rnacentral:misc_RNA from 1 species
GCGAGUUAUCUAACUCCCAACCCUUUGUGAACUUACUAUUGUUGCCUCGGCGGGACCUACCUGGUACCUACCCUGUAGCCCCGCCGGCGGACUAUAAAUUCUUAUUUAAUGGAAAUCUGAAUGUAUUAUUUUAAUAAAUAA